ACUGGGCACAGUGUGCAUGCCUGUAAUCUCAAUUACUUGGGAGGCUGAGGCAGGAGGAUUGCAAGUUCAAGGCCAGCCUCAGCAAUUUAGUGAGACCCUGUCUUAU
rnacentral:sRNA from 1 species